rnacentral:rRNA from 1 species
GUGGGGAAUUUUGGACAAUGGGCGCAAGCCUGAUCCAGCAAUGCCGCGUGCAGGAAGAAGGCCUUCGGGUUGUAAACUGCUUUUGUACGGAACGAAACGGUCCUGGUUAAUACCCGGGGCUAAUGACGGUACCGUAAGAAUAAGCACCGGCUAACUACGUGCCAGCAGCCGCGGUAAUACGUAGGGUGCAAGCGUUAAUCGGAAUUACUGGGCGUAAAGCGUGCGCAGGCGGUGCUGUAAGACAGGCGUGAAAUCCCCGGGCUUAACCUGGGAAUUGCGCUUGUGACUGCAGUGCUGGAGUGCGGCAGAGGGGGAUGGAAGUCCGCGUGUAGCAGUGAAAUGCGUAGAUAUGCGGAGGAACACCGAUGGCGAAGGCAAUCCCCUGGGCCUGCACUGACGCUCAUGCACGAAAGCGUGGGGAGCAAACAGGAUUAGAAACCCUAGUAGUCC